UUCUGUUUUUCAACAAUAUACUUAUAUCGUAUUGAAUGAGAAGCGGAAUCGUAUGAUCAUUCAAAUUCGUAACUAUUUCUUGCCGAAUCAAAGGAGAAUUUCAAGCUUGAUUAAUAAUUUGAAUUAGGAUGAAUCGGUGGGUCGCGGGCUGAGUGUUAUUCGUCAGGCUUGCCAUUCUCCUUUGAUGGCGUGGAAUGGUCGCAGGCGGUGAUUGGAAUUCAACAUCGAAUCAAGCUAUUGUAUCCGGCGACUCACCAACUUUGGAAAUUAGGGCAAACCAGACAUCUCCUCUGUUUUGGUUAUUUAUUCAUUUAUAUAAUGUUACGACGUGGAAAUUUGCGGCCGCUAUCGAAACUGUGUACUAAGUAAAUCUCCAAUCAAAUUUAAUAUGUUACAAAUUAGGUACGAGAAUCUUUGAUUAGGGUUAGAGGCAGAUUUGUCAGAGUUGUGUGUAUGGUUUCUUGUUGGCACAUCAUAGCAGAACAAUGUUAUUGUUUGUGAGCUUUGGGAUUUGUUUACAAAAAUACAUCUUGAAUUUAUUGUA